rnacentral:rRNA from 1 species
UACGAAGGGUGCUAGCGUUGUUCGGAAUUACUGGGCGUAAAGCGCGCGUAGGCGGCGAUAAAAGUCAGGGGUGAAAUCCCACAGCUCAACUGUGGAAUUGCCUUUGAAACUGUAUUGCUAGAGUGUCGGAGGGGAUAGCGGAAUUCCUAAUGUAGAGGUGAGAUUCGUAGAUAUUAGGAGGAACACCGGUGGCGAAGGCGGCUAUCUGGACGACAACUGACGCUGAGGCGCGAAAGCGUGGGGAUCAAACAGG